rnacentral:rRNA from 1 species
GACGAACGCUGGCGGCGUGCUUAACACAUGCAAGUCGAACGAUGAAGAAGAGAAACGCGAACUUCGGUUCAAAUUUCACUUCGGAUUAGUGGCAGACGGGUGAGUAACGCGUGAGCAACCUACCUCUUACAAAGGGAUAGCCUCGGGAAACCGUGAUUAAUACCAUAUGACACAUUCAUAAGGCAUCUUAAGAAUGUUAAAGCUACGGCGGUAAGAGAUGGGCUCGCGUCCCAUUAGCUAGUUGGUGAGGUAACGGCCCACCAAGGCGACGAUGGGUAACCGGCCUGAGAGGGUGAACGGUCACAUUGGAACUGAGACACGGUCCAAACUCCUACGGGAGGCAGCAGUGGGGAAUAUUGCACAAUGGAGGGAACUCUGAUGCAGCGACGCCGCGUGAGCGAUGAAAGAAUUCGUUUCGUAAAGCUCUGUUCUAUGGGAAGAAAAGGACUGUACCAAAGGAGAAAGCCCCGGCUAAAUACGUG